UCUUUUUUUUUUUUUUUAAACAAAAAACUUUUUGCUGGCAAGUUGAGCCGUCUCCCUGUCUCUGUUCUUGUCUCCCUGUUUCUUAUCUCAUGCGAAUCUAUUGUAUUUUUAAGUGAUCGUUGUUGCUGAAAAUCUGUUGAUGUUGCUGGAAUCAGAUUUAGUGCAGGAUUAUUUUAUUGGGUGCUCAAAAUUUACAUGUAAUUACUUCUUCUUUUUUUUUGGGAAUGAUGUUGUGGGUGAUUACUACUCAAAAAUAAAUAAAUAAAUAAAUAUGCAGAUGAGUAUAUUGUGAAUUUGUGAUCAGAAUCAAAUUGGUGAUAUUCUAUACAUGCAUGUUAAAGAUGUAACUGAUCGGGUUCAUCUAAUCCCCUGCAUCGACUGUGUCAAUUUGGAAGCAAAUCAGCUCCCUACUUUGGGAGCUAACAAAUUUGAUCCUACAGUUAGAUUUUUUGGGUGUGGGUAGGAUUGGAGAGAAAAACUGGGCAUUAACGAGGAACGGGUAAUGGAGAUUUGGGGAAGAGCAGGAUGCCUUGUGGAGGGAGGUCAUUUUUGUGAAUAUGGGAUGUUGGGAAGAGGGGAUUGGUUCCCUGGGCUCCCUACUUGGAUCAUUUGCUCAAACGCGUGGGAGGGUAUUAGCUGCAUUGAUGGAAGAUCUGUUCAUAAUGGGUGGAACAUUUCUGAUGGAAUGGGAGAUAUUAUUUAUGAAGGAACCUGGUUUGUGGUUGGCCGCAGUGAUAUCAGCCCGCUUUUUCAAGGAUGCAUGGCUAGAUGAAACUCUGGCCAAAUCAUUCCCCCCGCUGUUCUCCGUAGUGGUUAAUCCCAAUGCCAAGAUUGAUUAAUGUUAUGAGACUCUUUCGCAGUUUAUAGCAUGGAAGGUGAAUCGCCGUCUCAUCAUCGGAACGUUUGUGAUGAUGAAGCAAGGGCUUUUGCUUUGCUUAUGGGAAAACUCGGUGAGCUCUCUUUUGUUCACUACUGUGGGAAGUGCCCAUUUUCUAAGUGUUUGAGCAUUUGCAUAGACAGCCAUGGCAAAAAGGAUCCUAUGAAUUGAUAGAUGGCGACCGGAAAGGGUUGAUUAAUCAGUAGGGAGAGGAGGAUUGUCCUUAUUAACUUAAAGAAAGCUUAUGAUACAGUCCCUACAAAGUUAAUUGGGUGGGUGUUGGGAAAGAAGAGGAGUUUCAAGAGGAUAUAUUGACAUGAUUAAGGAUAUGUACAAGGGAACAAUAACAAAUGUGAGGGCCACUAGUUGGCAAACAAGUGAGUAAACAAUUACCCUAGGCUUGCAAUAGGGGUUGGCAUCUUUUUGCAUUGACUAUGGACAAGUUAGCAAGGCAUAUGCAGGAAGAGAUCUCAUGGCGUAUGGUGUUUGUAGAUGGCAGUUUUUAUUGACAAGACGAGGGAGGGCAUAAACAAAAAGCUAGAUUAGUGGAUGGUGCUUUAGAAUAUAAAGGAUUAAAAUUAGUUAGACUAAAACGGAGAGAAUGCAGUGCAAUGUUGGUAACAAUGGGAGUGGGAACGAGGAAUUAUUUAAGAUUGGUGGCCAAGAAGUUUCCCAAAAUGACCACUUUCAAUAUCUUGGGUCGGUAAUUCAUGAGAGUGGGGAGAUUGAGAAGGAUGGUGGCUAUAGAAUUUUAAGCUGGGUGGAAGAGAAGGAUGGUGGCUAUAGAAUUUUAAGCUGGGUGGAAGAGAAGGAUGGUGGCUAUAGAAUUUUAAGCUGGGUGGAAGAAAUGGAGAUGUGCCUCUGGAGUUUUUUAUAAUUGUCGUGUAUCACUCAAAGUGAAAGGGAAAUUUUAGAGGAGGUCUAUAAGACCAGCCAUGCUUUAUGGGACAAUGUUGGGCAGUUAAGGAAUAACAUGCUCAUAGGAUGAGUGUUGCUGAAAUGAGCAUGCUGAGAUGGAUGAGUGGCAAGACAAGGAUAGAAUUAGAAAUGAAUGCAUUUGAGGGAAUUUAGGAGAAGCGCCAAUAGGUAAUAAGAUGAGGGAAAGUAGUCUUAGAUAGUUUAGUCAUGUGCAAUGAAGACCAAGAACUCUGCUGGUUAUGAGUGAAUUGGUACAAGUUGAAGGCUCUAAAAGGGCAAGGGGAAGGCCCAAAAGGCUGUGGGUAGAGGUAGUGAGAAAAGACUUGGUGACCUACGGUCUAACUGAAGUUAUGGUCCUUGGUAGAGUGGAAUGGCAGAAAAGGAUUCAUUUUUAGCCAACCCCAAUUAGUUGGCAUAAUGCUUAGACGAUGAUUUCUAGAAAGGAGGUAGAACCUGUGGACCAUCUGUUUCUGCAUUGUGGGACUGCUAGGGCUGUAUGGGACUUUUUUUUCUUCUGAUUUUUGAGGUUUGUUGGGUGCUCAAUAGAUCAAUUUCUGAGGUGAUUGCUGACUGGAAAAAUGGACCUUUCUCAGUGAGGGGCAGAUCAAUUUGGAAUCUGUUUCCAAUUUUUCUGUGGGGCUUAAGGGAAGAGAGAGAUGCGAGAAGUUUUUAAAGGAAAAUAUGCUGUAUUGCCUCCCUCAAAAGCUCAAUUGCCACACUGGCCUUUGAAUGGUCUAUUCUGUCUUGCAUUCCAUGGGAUGUCCAUGGUGGAGUUUUGUAAUGAUUGGGAAAUGUUGCGGUUGGGUAAUUGGGAUCCUCUCGUUCUGUUUCUUCUUCUUCUUCUUCUUUUUGCUUUUCUUAUCUGCUUUUAUUUUUAUUUUUUGGCCAAUGUUGAGUGACUAUAAGGUCAUCUUCUGCUAUUGGUCUUUAUGUAUUUCCUUUCUUAUGGUUUAAUGAAAUAGUGAUCUUCUCCAAAAAAGAAGAAGAUUUUAUCUCACAAUCGGAUUUACUUUUCUUUUUCUUUUUUUUGCUGUGCAGUCAGAUUCAGGGUUGUAUUUCAGUCUAGUUUUAAAUCAACUUCUAGAUUUAGAUUAUCAAGAUGGCAGAAGUAGAGCUAGUUCUGUUGAUGGAAGGAGAACCAGCAAACAAUUACAAAAAAGGCCAUGAUGUGUAGCAUGUGCUGUAAAUUUUUUAUUGGUCACAAUAAGAUAUGAAAUGAAGUACAUUGAGAUGGUUUGGUCAUGUAACUGGAGAAGGCUCCUCUGAUAAGGAGUGGAGUUCUAGUUAUGACACCGAAAAGAGAUGAAAUAAAGAUAAAAACCACCUGGAUCAAGGUGUUGGAAAGGGGGCCGUUUGUGUGUGUGGCCUUCUCUCUUCUUUCUUUCUUCCUCUUCUUUUUUUCCUUUCAUUUUUUAUUUUUCCUUUCCUUUUAUUUUAUUUUUUUACAUCUUUUGAGCCUUAGGUAGGAAUGAUUGGUGAAACAAGAUUUGUGAAGCUAAAUUCCAGAUGGUCAGGACGAAGGCUGUGAUGGUGAUAAUGAUGAAUUGCAUAGUAGAAGGUCAACCCCUUCUUGGACAUUUCACUUUGUUCCCUUUGAGAUCAAUGUUGGUACACCUUUCAGGAUGAGUGCAGGACUGUCGUGGAUGGUCUAACCCUGAUCGGAUUCUAUGAUUUGAACUAGGAUGAGAGUCGUCCAUUCGACCCAGCUAAAAGAUUGGGGAAAAGACAUUCAGGAGGGAAUUCAAGGUGGACCUUUUAGCUCAUCAAUGAGUCUGCCUAGGCUGUCUCUACUUUUGUGGGAGUAACCUUUGUAAAAUUCUCCCUUGUCUGCUUGAUAAACUCUUCCAUAAUUCA